rnacentral:rRNA from 1 species
UACGUAGGCAGCGAGCGUUGUUCGGAGUUACUGGGCGUAAAGGGUGUGUAGGCGGUUGUUUAAGUUUGGUGUGAAAUCUCCCGGCUCAACUGGGAGGGUGCGCCGAAUACUGAAUGACUUCGAGUGCGGGAGAGGAGAGUGGAAUUCCUGGUGUAGCGGUGAAAUGCGUAGAUAUCAGGAGGAACACCGGUGGUGUAGACGGCUCUCUGGACCGUAACUGACGCUGAGACGCGAAAGCGUGGGGAGCAAACAGG